UAGGGAAUCUUCGGCAAUGGACGAAAGUCUGACCGAGCAACGCCGCGUGAGUGAAGAAGGUUUUCGGAUCGUAAAACUCUGUUGUUAGAGAAGAACAAGGACGUUAGUAACUGAACGUCCCCUGACGGUAUCUAACCAGAAAGCCACGGCUAACUACGUGCCAGCAGCCGCGGUAAUACGUAGGUGGCAAGCGUUGUCCGGACUUAUUGGGCGUAAAGCGAGCGCAGGCGGUUUCUUAAGUCUGAUGUGAAAGCCCCCGGCUCAACCGGGGAGGGUCAUUGGAAACUGGGAGACUUGAGUGCAGAAGAGGAGAGUGGAAUUCCAUGUGUAGCGGUGAAAUGCGUAGAUAUAUGGAGGAACACCAGUGGCGAAGGCGGCUCUCUGGUCAGUAACUGACGCUGAGGCUCGAAAGCGUGGGGAGCAAACAGG
rnacentral:rRNA from 1 species